rnacentral:lncRNA from 1 species
AGAGCUGAAGUUUGUCAAGUUUGUAUAAUGCAUUUAGUGCUGUAGUUAAGAGCAUGGGCUAUGAAUGGACGCUAAUGGAAGACUGUCUUGAAGUCCAGAACUCUGCACUUGAAAAAGGACUCCAAAAGACAAGGGGGUGACUAAGUCCUGCACCCAAGGAUGUAAGGCAAUUCAGAGACUCAUAAGGUAGCCUUCACACUGUCCUCCUCAGCAACCUAGCCCCCGGCCAUUGGAGUUAACUCAGAGCAGUGGGAAACAGGGCUCAUCAGAGAGCCUGUUGCAAUGUAAAAAAGACACUCAAGUAGCUCAGUGGAAUGGCCCACAUGAUGAGAAACUCAGAGCCAGCGUCAACUGCCCAUCACAUAAUUAAGCAAGCUUGGUAGCAGACCUUCUUGCUCCAGUCAAGCCUUCAGAUGAUUGGAACCCCAGCUGACAACUCCACUGUAACCCUAUGAGAGCUGCCAAGCUAGAAUCACUCAGCCAAGCCACUCCUGAAUUCUGGAUCCCCAGAGUCUGUGUGAGAUAAUAAAUGUUCAUUGUUAUAAGCCAC